rnacentral:rRNA from 1 species
UGGGGAAUUUUGGACAAUGGGGGCAACCCUGAUCCAGCCAUCCCGCGUGUGCGAUGAAGGCCUUCGGGUUGUAAAGCACUUUUUGGCAGGGAAGAAAUAGGUCUGGCUAAUAUCUAGACUGAAUGACGGUACCUGCAGAAUAAGCACCGGCUAACUACGUGCCAGCAGCCGCGGUAAUACGUAGGGUGCAAGCGUUAAUCGGAAUUACUGGGCGUAAAGCGUGCGCAGGCGGUUCGGAAAGAAGGAUGCGAAAUCCCAGGGCUUAACCUUGGAAUGGCAUUCUUAACUACCGGGCUAGAGUAUGUCAGAGGGGGGUAGAAUUCCACGUGUAGCAGUGAAAUGCGUAGAGAUGUGGAGGAAUACGAUGGCGAAGGCAGCCCCCUGGGAUAAUACUGACGCUCAUGCACGAAAGCGUGGGGGAGCAAAACAGGAUUAGAUACCCUGGUAGUCCACGCCCUAAACGAUGUCAACUAGCUGUUGGGGGCCCUUCGGGCCUUAGUAGCGCAGCUAACGCGUGAAGUUGACCGCCUGGGGAGU